rnacentral:rRNA from 1 species
CCUACGGGAGGCAGCAGUGAGGAAUAUUGGUCAAUGGACGCAAGUCUGAACCAGCCAUGCCGCGUGCAGGAAGACGGCUCUAUGAGUUGUAAACUGCUUUUGUACGAGGGUAAACGCAGACACGCGUAUCUGUUUGAAAGUAUCGUACGAAUAAGGAUCGGCUAACUCCGUGCCAGCAGCCGCGGUAAUACGGAGGAUUCAAGCGUUAUCCGGAUUUAUUGGGUUUAAAGGGUGCGUAGGCGGUCGGAUAAGUUAGUGGUGAAAUCCCGAGGCUCAACUUCGGAAUUGCCUCUGAUACUGGUCGGCUAGAGAGUAGUUGCGGUAGGCGGAAUGUAUGGUGUAGCGGUGAAAUGCUUAGAGAUCAUACAGAACACCGAUUGCGAAGGCAGCUUACCAAGUUGCUUCUGACGUUGAGGCACGAAAGCGUGGGGAGCAAACAGGAUUAGAUACCCCUGUAGUC